GACGAACGCUGGCGGCGUGCUUAACACACGCAAGUCGAACGCUGAAGACCUGGCUUUUGUUGGGUUGGAUGAGUGGCGAACGGGUGAGUAACACGUGAGUAACCUGCCCUCUUCUUUGGGAUAACGCCCGGAAACGGGUGCUAAUACUGGAUAUUCACUGGCCUUCGCAUGGGGGUUGGUGGAAAGGUUUGUUCUGGUGGGGGAUGGGCUCGCGGCCUAUCAGCUUGUUGGUGGGGUGAUGGCCUACCAAGGCUUUGACGGGUAGCCGGCCUGAGAGGGUGACCGGUCACAUUGGGACUGAGAUACGGCCCAGACUCCUACGGGAGGCAGCAGUGGGGAAUAUUGCACAAUGGGCGAAAGCCUGAUGCAGCGACGCCGCGUGAGGGAUGGAGGCCUUCGGGUUGUAAACCUCUUUCGCUCAUGGUCAAGCCGCAACUGUGGGUUGUGGUGAGGGUAGUGGGUAAAGAAGCGCCGGCUAACUACGUG
rnacentral:rRNA from 1 species